ACCCAUUAUACCCACUGCAGUGCCAGCACACAGUGGUUGGAUAACUGCAUACCUCUGAGAUGCAUGAAAAGCCCACCCCUUCUUGCUGGGACUAUCUGAGAUAGUGAGUGUAACUUGAAGAAAUGGUACCUAGCCUUUGUCCAGGCUUAGGAUUUGAAAAAACAAAUAAACAUAAAAUAGAAGACUCCUUUUUUACUUUCCUUCUUAUCUUUAAAUCUUAACCUAAAAUCUUUUUUUUAAUUUUUAAUUUUUGUGGGUACAUAGUAGGUGUAUAUAUUUUGGGGGUACAUGAGAUGUUUUGAUACAGGCAUGCAAUGUGUAAUAAUCACACCAUGGAGAAUGGGGUAUCCAUCCCCUCAAGCAUUUAUACUUCACAUUACAAUCUAAUUAUACUCUUUUAGUUAUUUUAAAAUGUAUAAUUAAGUUAUUACUGACUGUAGUCACACUGUUGUGCUAUCAAAUAGUAGGUUUUACUUCUUUCUGUUUUUAAUACUUAUUAAUCAUCCCCACCUUUACCCCAUACCCCCACUACACUUCCCAGCCUCUAGUAACCAUUCUUUUACUCUCUAUCUCCAUGAAUAUAAUUGUUUUGAUUUUUCUAAGAGGACAUGAUAAGUGUUUAGUUUCUUUGCCAAUCAGUAUCCCCGUAAUUUUGGAAAUGAUGAUUCUGGAGGCUGGGCAUGUCAUUUUUGACUGACCAUCUGGUUCACUUACUGGUGCCAUGAAAAAUCUGCAUCAUCUUACCGCAUCAUUGACUACAAGGAGAAUGUGUCAGGUCUAGAUGUGUUUUAGCAUGACCAUCAACACUGCUAGGACUCUGGCAUAGUUGAAUGAACAAUGCAUCCAGAUACUAGAUGUGGGAAGUCCAGACUUGGUUCUGACGUGUGGGACAAGUCAGCUGACUCUUCCAAGCCACCAAGUCCACUUGUGCUAAAUGGUGGCAUCAUCAGAUUCAGUGAGCUAUUCCUUCCUUUGUCCUUGUAUGAAAGUUGAGAUUUACUUUUUAUCAGUUAUUUAAAGAUCUAAAUUACACAGCAAUGACAAAUGUGCUUCUAUGUUCAACUUCAACCUUUGGAAUUAACUAGCUUUCCAGGUCUUACUUUGUUAAACUUAGGUCAUGAUCCACAAUGUUCUCUCCAGGUUGAUCUGUUCAAGUCUUGGACAGAUUUUGGUAUAGCUCUUCUAGGUUCCUCCAGACACCCCUUCCCAUUUCCACAGUCCCUGGAAUCAGUUUCAGUAUACAUCCUUCACUAGACAGCAGGACCACAGCCUACAGGCUCUGGAGUCAUCUUGUCCUGGGGGUGAGUUCUGGCUCUAUCCCUUGUUAGCUGUGUGAUUUCAUGGAGAUUUCCAAAUCUCCCUGGAAUGCAGUUACCUCCUCUGUAGAAUAAAACUAAUCCCAGCUAUCCGUCAGAGUUGCAAUGAGGCUAAAUGAAUUCAUAGGCACAAUGAAUUUGCCCAGCUAAUGCUGAUCUACUCCUACUUGUUCCUUCAUUCUCCCAAAUGCCCUCUCUUCUCCCUCCUGACUCAUCUUGCUUGCUAAGUCAUCCACUGUUUAUUUCUUGUGCCUCCCUGGAAGAAAGAUGACAUCUGCUUCUUGUCUGUAAGCCUCUGUUGUGAUUUCUUCACUCUUCUCUACCCACAAGUAUUUCCUUUCUGGACUCACCAACUUCCUUAGGCUGGGAUGCACCAACCUUCACAUUCUUUGAAGAAGAGCCUGUGGGGACUCCAUCCCAGUGCUUUGAGCAGCCUAUCCCUCCUUGCUCAGUCUCUACAAUUGCAUGCUAGC
rnacentral:lncRNA from 10 species